rnacentral:rRNA from 1 species
GCAGUCUACUUGAACUUCGGUUUGGGUGGCGGACGGGUGAGUAACGCGUAUAGAACUUGCCUCACAGACUGGGACAACAUUUGGAAACGAAUGCUAAUACCGGAUAUUAUGAGAUAUGCGCAUGCAUAACUUAUGAAAGCUAUAUGCGCUGUGAGAGAGCUUUGCGUCCCAUUAGCUAGUUGGAGAGGUAACGGCUCACCAAGGCGAUGAUGGGUAGCCGGCCUGAGAGGGUGAACGGCCACAAGGGGACUGAGACACGGCCCUUACUCCUACGGGAGGCAGCAGUGGGGAAUAUUGGACAAUGGACCGAGAGUCUGAUCCAGCAAUUCUGUGUGCACGAUGAAGUUUUUCGGAAUGUAAAGUGCUUUCAGUUGGGAAGAAGAAAGUGACGGUACCAACAGAAGAAGCGACGGCUAAAUACGUGCCAGCAGCCGCGGUAAUACGUAUGUCGCAAGCGUUAUCCGGAUUUAUUGGGCGUAAAGCGCGUCUAGGCGGCAUAGUAAGUCUGAUGUGAAAAUGCGGGGCUCAACUCCGUAUUGCGUUGGAAACUGCUAUGCUAGAGUACUGGAGAGGUAAGCGGAACUACAAGUGUAGAGGUGAAAUUCGUAGAUAUUUGUAGGAAUGCCGAUGGGGAAGCCAGCUUACUGGACAGAUACUGACGCUAAAGCGCGAAAGCGUGGGUAGCAAACAGGAUUAGAUACCCUGGUAGUCCACGCCG